rnacentral:rRNA from 1 species
CCUACGGGGGGCAGCAGUGGGGAAUUUUCCGCAAUGGGCGAAAGCCUGACGGAGCAAUACCGCGUGAGGGAAGAAUGCCUUUGGGUUGUAAACCUCUUUUCUUAGGGAAGAAUCUGACGGUACCUAAAGAAUAAGCAUCGGCUAACUCCGUGCCAGCAGCCGCGGUAAUACGGGGGAUGCAAGCGUUAUCCGGAAUCAUUGGGCGUAAAGAGUCUGUAGGUGGCUUGAAAAGUCUGCUGUUAAAUCUUGGGGCUUAACCCCAUCUAGGCAGUGGAAACUUUCUCGCUUGAGUAUGGUAGGGGUAGAGGGAAUUCUCAGUGUAGCGGUGAAAUGCGUAGAUAUUGAGAAGAACACCAGAGGCGAAGGCGCUCUACUGGGCCAUAACUGACACUGAGAGACGAAAGCUAGGGGAGCAAAUGGGAUUAGAUACCCCAGUAGUCUUAGCUGUAAACGAUGGAUACUAGAUGUUGCGCGUAUCGAUCCGUGCAGUGUCGUAGCUAACGCGUUAAGUAUCCCGCCUGGGAAGUAUGCUCGCAAGGGUGAAACUCAAAGGAAUUGACGGGGGCCCGCACAAGCGGUGGAGCAUGUGGUUUAAUUCGAUGCAACGCGAAGAACCUUACCAGGGCUUGACAUGUUGUGAAUUUUCUUGAAAAAGAAAAGUGCCUUAGGGAACACAAGCACAGGUGGUGCAUGGCUGUCGUCAGCUCGUGUCGUGAGAUGUUGGGUUAAGUCCCGCAACGAGCGCAACCCUUGUUUUUAGUUGCCAUCAUUAGGUUGGGGACUCUAAAAAGACUGCCGGUGAUAAACCGGAGGAAGGUAAGGAUGACGUCAAGUCAGCAUGCCCCUUAUGCCCUGGGCUACACACGUGCUACAAUGACUAUGACAAUGAGCAGCGAGUGUGUAAGCGCGAGCAAAUCUCAUAAACUUAGUCUCAGUUCGGAUUGCAGGCUGCAACUCGCCUGCAUGAAGGUGGAAUCGCUAGUAAUCGCCGGUCAGCUACACGGCGGUGAAUCCGUUCUCGGGCCUUGUACACACCGCCCGUC